rnacentral:rRNA from 1 species
GACGAACGCUGGCGGCGUGCUUAACACAUGCAAGUCGAACGGAAAGGCCCUGCCUUUGUGGGGUGCUCGAGUGGCGAACGGGUGAGUAACACGUGAGUAACCUGCCCUUGACUUUGGGAUAACUUCAGGAAACUGGGGCUAAUACCGGAUAGGAGCUCCUGCUGCAUGGGGGGGGUUGGAAAGUUUCGGCGGUUGGGGAUGGGCUCGCGGCUUAUCAGCUUGUUGGUGGGGUAGUGGCUUACCAAGGCUUUGACGGGUAGCCGGCCUGAGAGGGUGGCCGGCCACAUUGGGACUGAGACACGGCCCAGACUCCUACGGGAGGCAGCAGUGGGGAAUAUUGCACAAUGGGCGGAAGCCUGAUGCAGCGACGCCGCGUGCGGGAUGACGGCCUUCGGGUUGUAAACCGCUUUCGCCUGUGACGAAGCGUGAGUGACGGUAAUGGGUAAAGAAGCACCGGCUAACUACGUG